rnacentral:lncRNA from 1 species
UGGAAAGCUAAGCCCUUGUGAGAACUCGGAUAACCCGAAGUCCUGAUAAAGAGAUGGAAGCAGCACAAGAGGAAGCAAGAGAACUCGGUUCCAACCGUGGCGUAGAGAUGGGAUCGCAAGCACGGGCUGGCCUUGGGCAGCUGGGCUGGAGAUGGGGAGAAACUACACCGCUGACCGGGGGCUGGGAGAGGCCAAGUCCCUCCGUUACCAGGCAUCGUAUUUCAUCCCACUGGGGAAUGUGAAAAGAUAAUCCCCCAACGCAUGGGUGAGUGCCGACCUCAUCCCUUGAGAAGGAUUGCGGGCAUCAGGACCCACUGGCGCUUCAUGGAGGAAUGCCAGGCAGCCUCACGGGGAGGAAAGAACCCAGGAUGGGGAGUGUAUGGCUUUGGACAAGUCUUUUAACUUCUCUAUGCUUUCAUCUGUAAAAUGGGUACAAUGAUCCUAGUAAGUUCCUGUAUAUUGAGCAUCACCUAUGUACCAGGCAGUAGGCUGACUACAGUUUAUCCAACCCUCAAAGUCCUAAGAGCUAAUGAGAAAGUUAAACCACUUGCCCUGGAUCCAACUGCCAGCCAAUAGUCAAGCGGGGAUUUGGCCCCAAGUCUCUCUAACUCCAAAACAUAUGCUUGCUAACCACUAAGGUACACGACCUCCUAACCCCCUCACAGGGGUCAAGUUGGGUAAUGCAAGUUAAACUCCUGUGUCAACCAUAAAGCGGGAAUCAGAUACCAGGGCUGGCUGUUAUUAUUCUUAUUACUGUUAAUAGCUAAGGGAAUUAUAGAGGCUAAGGUCGUAGCUUCUAACAAACGACAGUUCAAAGCAGACCAGUGCUGGAUAAACGUUUGUAAUAGACACACGAGAGGGGAAAAGUAAACAAAAAUAUUGACAGAUGAGUGAAAGCUAAAGAGAAAUAAAAGGGACUAAUGUUAAACAAAAAGAGACAGCUGGCACCUCCAUUCGUUUAGGUCCUGUUUACCCAUCUGCUGAGAUCUCAGCCCCUCUUGCUGGUCCCUAAGAGAUCAAAGACUCACAAGUGAGUGUUGGCGAAUUGUAUACACAUAUGUAAGCCUCCAAUAGGGACAAAACCUCGAUCAAUGUUUUCUCUGAACACCAUUUCUCACCAAGGUACAGGACCUGGGUUAAACUCAGAAGCUAUUAUCCUUCGACAGGACCCAGGUCAAUGAAUCUACUUAGCUCUCUUUAAGGCUUUAGGUCAAGGCUGGCCUCCGUGUUGGAAUUCAAGCAUUGUCCUAGUGGCCAAGUGCACUUAGAGAGGCAGCCAAGAGUGAAGACGGAGCUGAGACAAAGACCAGAAAUGGAGCCGGAGUAAUGGGUUUACCACAUUGAGCUUUCUGUUCUGGGAAAAUUUAUCCUCUGGGUUGGUGAUAGGGAUCCUCUUAAAAGGCAGCAGGAUUUUGGCCCCAGAACCUCUGCAGAGCCCAGACUCUUCCUAAAAGAGGAAACACAGACGGCCUUCUUCCAGAAAUUCUGCCCCCGACUCAAGUGCUGGAAAUGUACUGCCCAGCCCAUUCGGUGGAGCGGAGAAUUUCAGUAAAAUGGAAUUCUGAAAUAGUCGAAUCUUGGAAUGCUGGCCUCUUAGAAUCUUUGAAUUCCGUCAAUUCCUCCAGGGCAUGGAUCAUUUCUUACUCAUAUUUGCUCCCUCAGUGCCCAGCACAGUCUGCACAGUGGAGAUAAUGACAUUCUUUUGUAGCCCUAAUGUAUUCAGGGGCCUCCCCGGCCCAGUCUUUGCAGAGUCAUGUUCAAACAAGCAAAGUCCAGCCUCUGAGAGAAAAUCUUUAAAGAACUCUUCUUUUUAUUUGCGUUUCUCAGGAAAAGUGAAAAAGGAGCCAGUUAAUAAACCCCCAAGUACUCCUGCCUCUUCAUCCCAGUUUUCUCACACCCAGCAGCCUCCCUGGACAACAUCUCGUCAGCUCCCUCCACCCCUAACCGCAAGGAUAUUUUCCUCUCUCCUUCCUGCAUCCUCAUGCCCAGCCCUUUAUACCAUAUUUCAACUCAGCCUCUCCAGCUAAGCCCUUCUGCCUCUCUUCUCUGGCCAUCUCCCUCUCUAUCUUUUCCCAAGAUUAUAUGUGACAAAAGCUCUGAGAACUGGGAUGGCAAUCACGGAGCCCAUCUCAGAUGGGAAAGAGGAAGGAAAUGUAAGGGAGGCAAAUCAGGGUAGUCAAAGGCAACAUUUUUCAGGAAAGGCGAGGCAGGAAACACUCGUCUCCACCAUAGUUUGAUGAAAGACCAUCCUGGGUGGGUUGAUAAACAGGAGGAUAAAUAGAAAUUCAGAGUCUGCAAGGACCCGGAGCCCACCUCUUUCUCUCCCAACCCCCCAGCAGCAUCAGAAGUGUUCUCUGCAUUAGCCAGAGUUUAUCCAGCUUCCAUGGGAACCACUCCAGGAUUCAGGAACACCCAGGGAGUGCUAGAACCUAGCGGAGGCACAUUCCCUCCUGAGCCCUAAAUUAUGAAGGCUCAUGAGGCUCAGUCUGCAGCAGGAGACCGCUAGCAAAGCUAAACCCACAAUCUGCUCCAAAUGGACAGGACCGGCCACAGCUACCUCUCCCCUACAGAAAAUUCCUGAAGAAAUGGGUAGGGGAGACCAAAAAGCAAAUGAGAAAAGGGAAGAAAGAGCAGGAGAAGGUGGGUACAAUGCUGCCUCUGCCUGGGCCUGGGGCCUCGGCCAGUGGAGGCAUUGGCUCAAGUCACAGUUUAUCUGGGAGAUGGAGCAUCCAGGGCUCCAGGCCCAGCGUGACCUCCAGUCCAGCGACUGCAGACUUCAGUUCCUUCACCACCUUGCUCUCACCAUUAAAGGCAAAGGUAGUUUUGAAUGAUGAUUCUAUUUCCCUUCUUCCUCAAGACCUCGUCUGUGCUUACCAAAGUCUCCUGAAGGGGAGUGGCUUCAUUUAAGGUGUGCAGGGGUCCCCAUUAGACUUGCCACGGGAGGCCAUUUUUUAGUAAGUGCACAACCACCACCAUAUUGUCCUCUUGUCCCCGAAGGGAGGAAUCUGGCAUCACCUCCCAGCUCCGUACGCACCCUCUCGCUGCUCACGGGCAAAGGCUCACAGGUGCACGUCUAGAGGUCACAGAUAGAAAAAUCCACCUUCUCCGCGACCCUGGAGGCUGCCUGGGUCUGGCUGUAGGAGGCGGAGACUGGCAUAUGUUGGAGCGGGGGAGUGAACGGUACGUUGGAGCAUUUUCGGAACUCUGACUGUUCUCUUCCCUUAUUGUGCUGCCGGGCGGCCACCCACGAGUACCAGCUGCUGUCAUGGAGACGCUUCCGAAACAGCUGGACCGGCUGCUCAGAAUGGGAGCUGCUGAGAGAGAACGGGACUGCGCACGAGAUGUGGGUGGGGGUUGUUCCAAAGGAAACAGUGAGAACAAGUGAUAAGGACCGCUUUGGGAAGGGCGACGGUUAUGAAUUAAAAAAUAGAGCCUUUCUCUUUGGGUCGAAGGUCAGAGGAGUCUAAUAUGGUUUUUGAUAUGAGAAUGAGAACCGAGGAUUUACCAUCCUCUAGCAAAUAGGAUGAUUUAUGUACCUGCUGUGUGGUGAUCCCUGUGCUGUGUGCUGUGGACCAUGGACUACUCAAAGGUGAACUAGGCACAUCUGAGGGGCUGUUCAGUGCAAGCUCUCAUCAGACAGAGCCCAGUUAAAUGCCAGCUCCUCCAUUCACUGGCUGUGUGUCUUUUGGUAUGUUACCGAACCUCUCUGUGCCUCAAUUUCUUCAUCUUAGAAAUAAUGCCUUUCUCAUAGGUUGUGGGGAUUCAGUAAGAUAGUACAUUGUAAGGAGCAUAGCAUAGCACAUCAUCAGUGUUUAAAAAUUAGAUGUGACUAAUUUUAGUAAAUUAAUUUUUAAUAAGGUCCAAGGUAAACUCUGGUUAGUGCUCCCCUGGGAGAAAUUCAAAAGAAGGAGAGAGUGUCUGAGUGUGAGAUAAGCAGGGAGGUGUCCCGAACGAGGAGACACAGGCAAGAUCUCCAACACCUGUUCCACUAUAGGGUACUGAUGGGGAAGGUAAGCUCAUCAUGAAUUUUCACACUCUUUCCAAUCAAAAGGCUUGGAAGGAUGAGAGAAAUGUCUGCAGACAAAAAUUUCUCAAAGGAAGAGGUCAUUUUAAGAGGCAAAAAUAAUAGUUAAUCAUGAUCAAUUAUUAAUUCUCACGUGUCAUGGAAUCUAAGACACACCAAUAUUUCAUGUACCACCAAGAAAAAACAAAAGCCACGAACUGAACAAUGACACAGUGUUCCUCAACAGCAAUUGUAAGAUGCAUCUGAUCGCAGAUAUGUUAAAAGGUGAAAAAAAAGUGCAUUUGAGAAUCAGUGAAAUAUGAUAUUUGCCAUAAUCUAUAAUAACGAUGAUGCAUUUUUAAAGCAUUUCUUCUUUGCAUCCCCAAAAUUAAAUAGGUAUAAUAGAAUCCAUUUGACAGAUGAGGAAACUGAGGCACAGAGCAGUGAAGUAAUUUGCCUAAGGUCCUGUAAUGAGUGAGUACUGGAACUGGCUGACUCAGAGCUGCCUGACAAAAAGUCCAAGGGCUUACCCACCAUGCUAUUCGAGAAAGACCCAAACCCCAGAGCAGCUGCGUCAAAGGGACAGGGAGAAGUGCUGUGGACGAAGUCAGCCCCUAGAGAGCCCUGAAUGCAGGGUGACUGGCCAUCCACUCCAGGGUCAUCUACUGAGCCCUGCUGAAUGGCAGGCACUGCGCUGAGCCCUGGGGGGAGGGUGGCACCCAGUAACAGAUGACUGGGGCCCCGCCCCACAGCCAAGCAAGGAAUGGGCAGCCAACGGACCAUUAGGAGGGAUACAUGCCAGGCUGAGGGUGUGCAUGGGGCACAUACAGGAGGAAACUUUGACCCAGUGCUGAGGGAUCAGAGAAGGCUUCCCAGAGGAAGUGACUUUUCACGACAACUCAAAGAACGAGUCAGAAGAGGAGAAAGGUAUGGCACCAGUGGUGCUUAGCAAGCAUCACAUGUGCCUCUCUACAUUACCCAGCCUCCCUUGAAGUUAGGCUGGGGCCACAUGACCAACUCUGGUCAACAGAGGGUGAGACAAAGUGACCUGUGACAUGUCCAGGCUGGGUCAGUUUCCUUUGCACCAGUGACCCUGGAGGCCACUUCUCCAGAUGGAGAAGGACCACUCGACCCACACUGCACCUCACAGGAGAGAGACAUAAACUUGAAUGUAUGUGUCUGAAAUUCGGGGGUUAAUUUAUUAUCACCACAUAGCAUAACCGAUCCUGACUAAUCCAACAGGAAAGACUGUUCCAUGCAAGGAAAACAGAAGGCGCAAAGGCAAGGGAACUUGGAGGAACUGCAUACUUCCUCUGACGGGAGCGAGAGCACCAGGGGCUGGAGGCCUGAGAUGAAGCUGGGGAGGUGAGGGCGCCUCCCAGUCUCCCACAGGUCCUGUCGGAAGUUUGGGCUGCUGUGUCUCAGAGAAUGAAUUAGAAGCGGAGACAGAGCAGGUGACAGGUGCUGGAGACUCCAAGUUCUGAGAGUGGCCAUGAGCACAAAUAUGAAGAAACAGAUGUGAGCAAUACCAAGACACGGAAUCCAUGCGGGUGACAAGUGAGAUUGCUGGGUCCGAGUUGCCUCCGAGGUCUUGAGCUUGAGACACUGGGAUGAUGGUGAUGUGCUCAACACAAAUGGAAAAAUCUAAAGAGAAACUGAUUUAUGAGGGAUGCUGAUGAGUCUGACUUGGAACACACUGAGGCUGAGGUUCUAAAGGAGCCUUGUCCCAGGAAUCCAUACAGCGGGUGUUGGCGGGGCGGAAUCCAGGGCUAGCCUCUGCUUACUCCCCGCUGCCAUUCCUUCCUGCUCCUCUCGGUUCACAACAGGUUUAGCUAGAUGUACUCUCUAGGUUAAGGUUUUUUCAUUAUAUCCUGAGUUUUCAUAAACGCUUUAUAAAGACCAAUUAAUUGCACUAAUUUAUCUGUCGGCUUUUUCUGGAAAGAAGCUUCUAAGACAAUUAGAUGAUUGUCGUUAAGCCUGUGAACAGGUUCCUGAGAGCCGUCUGCCAGGAGAUGGUGUGUUUUCCUUGGUGGCUACCACCUCAGGCGGCCGUGGGAAAAUACAGAGAAACAGGUAUAGAGGUGAUGGGGAAGGGAAGGAGCCCUGGCAGGUCUCAAAGCUACCACCUGGUGACUCGCUCCGAAGACAGGACUGUGCUGAGACCCGGUGGCGGUUUGGGGCGCUGGAGCUGGCUCCUCCCGGCUCCAAGAUCUGAUUUUUAACUAUUCAGCUUUCUUGUGAGCUGAUUGAUAGCUCAAAGUUGGCCGCGGUGAGAGUAUUUACAGCAUGGAAGUCAGCAAAGUCAGGGCUUUUUGUGGAAGGAGAGGGGAGGCCAGCUACCAGUCCACCACUGGGUUAUACCAAAGGAAGUCUGGGGAAUGUGCAGGUUGGGAAGCCAUCUCAGAGCCUGGCUCCAUCCGGUUCUCAUCUGAACAUCCAAGACUCGUUCGUAAGAGCUGCCUCUCCCUCACCCUCCAAUGCAACCCACUCAAUGCUCUCAAUCCUGUCUCCCAAAUAUGCCUUCAUUGUCUGGGCCCUGCUCCCGUCACCUGGCACCCCCUCCCUCUCACUCACUACGCUGUAACUACAAUAAGAGCUUUUCCCCCUCUGGGACUUUGCAUACUCUAGUCUAUCCUUCUAGAAUGUUCUUCCCUCCAUUAAGAGUGGCUUGGGGCUUCUCAUCUUUCAUGUCUCAACUUAAAUGUCAUUUCUCUUGGGGACCUUCCCAGACUAUGCCAUCUAAAACAGCACUCCCUAUAUUAUUUUUUUCCUUUUUCACUUUGUCUCCUUCAAAGCACUUUAUUUUGUUGUAUAAUUCUUUUGUCAGCUUCCUACCAGACUGGGAACUCCAUGAGGGAAAGCUUGUUUUCUACUCUAUUACUCAUGCCUCUCAUGAAGCCUGGCAAAGGAUUGGUGAUCAAUAAGUAUUUACUGUAGAAACACUGGAUGAAGUGGCAAACUCCCCAGUUUUGUAGUUGUGAGUGGUAUCAGGACCCUGUUUUUCAAGGUCUGAGCUUCCUUAAGGUUGGAAGGUGUUGCUGUAAAAAAUGCGAACCAAUGGAACUCACGGGAUGGAUGAUUUCACUGAUGCCAUGAGGCCUCUCCAGGGGCCCAGUGGAAGUAAGGUAAUGACUUGCCUUCCUGAUAUUGGAGUGCAUUUCAAAGGACAGCUAUCCAAGUUACCAAGCCCACUUCUUCCACUGCAUCAUUUCACAGUCUCCUGUCAUCACCAUGACAACCCCAGGUAAAAUCAAGGAGAAGAGUUUGCCUGCCGAUGUAAUGUUUACUCCUCAGUCUGAGGUGUUUGUUUUCUGUUUGUUUCCUCCCCAAAGCCCGAGUGCACGGUUGUAUACCCUAGUUGUAAGUCCUUCUACUUCUUCGAUGUGAGCCACCACCACAGCAUGGCAACUGACAGACAGGUGGUGUGGUUCCGUGACUGGGAAAGGAACCCGGGUCACCAAAGCAGUGAGAGCACCGAACUUUAGCCACUAGACCAUCAGGGUUGGCUCCUGUUUGUUUUUGAUGAUCUCUUCUUUUCCCUGAGGCUUCCUGAGGACCUACCUCAGAAGUACAGGAUUUGGGUUUACCAGAUAUCUUGGCACCACUUGGAAACCACUGGGCUCCUCCCAUGUGUCCAAAAUCAGCAUUAGAUAGAUACCAAAAUUAUGCAGAUCAGUCACUUCGCUGAGGGAAAGGCAAAAUGAUCUAAGGUGGGAGAAUGCAGGAAUCUCUGGCUGAGUCUCCUCAAGGGCUAAAGCCACAUCUCACGGCAGAGGUGGAGACGGGGGGAUGAAGCAGUGUGGCAGGCAGACCCUAAGGUGACCUCCUGGUGUUCACAUCCUACAUAAUCCUCUCCCCUGAGGGUGGAUGGAAGCUGUGACUUGCUUCUAGGGAAAAGAACAUGGCAAAGCUAAAGGGAUUUUACUGAUUUAAGGUCCUAAAUAAACUUAUUUUGGUUUAAUAAAAAAAUAGAUUAUCCUCAGUGGGUCUAACUUAACUGGGUGAAUGGCCUUAAAACAGGGACAGCAUCCUCCCUGAGAUGAGGGAGCUUCUCCUUGAUGGCUUGAUGAAGUAUACAGCUCUGGUGAGGCCCAUGUAGUGAGGAACUGUGGGCAGUCUCUAGGGCCUGAGGGUGGCCUCCAGCCCACAGCCAGCAAACACCUGGGGUUCUCAGUCACACGACCACAAGGAAACAUGUGACAACUUCAGUCACAACAACAAGAAUUAUCUUGGAAGUAGAUUCCUCCCAAUCGAGCCUCCAGAUGGGAAUGCAACCUAAGUAGCACCUUGACUGCAGCCUUGUGAGACAGUGAGCAGAAGACCCAGUUGAGAUAUGCCUGGACUCCUAACAUACAGAAACUAUGAGAACUAUGUGCUGUUUUAAGCCACUAAGUGUGUGGUAAUUGUUAUGCAGCAAUAGACAACGAACACAGGCAGUGACAUGAGCUGAUCCUAGGAAAUAGUAACCAGAGAUUCAUCAACACCCACACUCUGUGAUACCCUACCUGUGGCAGUGGUGGGUCAUCUCUGCUCCCAGAUAAAGCAUUUCAGGUACUCCCUAGGGUAUAAACUUGGUCAUUCAUCAAUUUGCUGAGCACCUACCACAUGCCAGGCCCUGUGCCAGGACUGAGGAUUCAAAGAUGACUAUAAUAUUGUCCUUACAAGGGGCUUACAGACUACGAGGGCAGUUAAUGCAGGUCACUCGUUCAUUAGCACAUGUCUACAGAGGGCUGACAGUGUGGCAGGCACUGUGCUACGCACUGUGGCCAGAGAAGGAUAAAGACCUGCUUAGCUUCAGGUGUGAUCAGAUGAGGGAGAGCUGGAGCCAGCUCACACUGGCUCUCAAGAGCCAGUUGCUAAGUUUCCUGUAAUCUUGUGAUCCAGUUGUUAAACACAGCCAUUAUUAAAAGGUAAAUUAUUUAAACUUACAAAUAAAGUAAACUGUAUUAAAAACAAAGGUAAUAAAUAUUCAAAACUCAUCAGGUCCUAAUUAUUUUUCUACAUGUUACAACUAUCUAUGCUCUUGAAGUGAUAUGUAUAUAUUGUAGAUAUUUGGUGGAAAUUUUAUAUAGUGGUGUUCUACCUGCAUAUCUUCCCAACUCCACAUUUAGUGAUUUCACAAUGGUAGCUUGAAAUUGCCUAUGAUGUGUGUAUUUACACCACAGAAAUUGGCAAACAUUACAAAUCUGAGCUUGAUUUAUUGCUUUGUUUAUUGUCUAGACCCUAGACUUAAGAAAGUGGUGGAGACUUUGUUAAUAAUGCAAUAAACAUAAAAGUGUGUCGUGUCUAUAGUCAUUACAUUUGAAUUGAACAAAAAAUUGAGGAAAUAUUCUUCCAGUAUUCAGAUACUGUUAUCCAAUUCAGCAAAGAAGUCACUUGUGUCAUGACAAUCAAAUGAAGAUUUGACAUACAUCCUCACUGUUUUGCUUUCCUCUUACUUAUUAACAUCAAUGAAAAUAUCAACAACAUUCGUGAUGGAACCGCACUUGCUCAUUCAAUGACCUGAAAGACUUCUUUGCUGAAUUGGAAAGUAAUCAUAGUCUAAUUUUGUCAGAUCAUGAUUGAAUUGCAAUCAUAGGUUGGCUAAUACAAGAAGUUGUCAAAAAGGAGUGAAAGCAUUUUGUGAGAGUCAAUGACUAUAUGCAAUUUACAAUAAAGAGUAUGGUAUUUUUUCUUAUUAUUUAAAUAACAAAUGUGUGUUUGAUGCACAUUCUUUACAUCAGUAAAAUAUAAUAAACUUAUGUAUGUACAGAUGUGCAGACAUUUUUUCUGGAGAGCUUGUUGUGAACAUUAUCAGCACACCACUGGCGGAGACGGACAUAGACAACUGUGAGUGAGUUCAGAGCGAGCAUCAAAGUGUGUACGAAGUCCUGGGGAGCGAUUUCUCUCUCUAACUGAAACCGUGGGAGGGAG